rnacentral:rRNA from 1 species
UACAGAGGUCCCAAGCGUUGUUCGGAUUCACUGGGCGUAAAGGGUGCGUAGGCGGUCGGGUAAGUCUGAUGUGAAAUCUCACAGCUUAACUGUGAAACUGCAUUGGAUACUAUCCGGCUCGAGGAAUGGAGGGGAGACUGGAAUACUUGGUGUAGCAGUGAAAUGCGUAGAUAUCAAGUGGAACACCAGUGGCGAAAGCGGCUCACUGGACCACAACUGACGCUGAGGCACGAAAGCUAGGGGAGCAAACAGG